rnacentral:lncRNA from 1 species
CAAGCAAAUCAUAUACAUUUAGGUACCCAAGUUUUCUUGGGUCCUUCAUGGUUAGUAAUGUUGGUUCCUUUUGGAACCCAAAUUCUUUUAAUUUUUCUUUUAGUUUUACCUUUUCUAUAAUCACAUACAUUUGCUUUAUAUCCUAAUGUUCCACAACAAAAACAGGUUAUUUUCUUAGUUUUACUUUCUCCUGCUUUAACAAAGAAGUUACUAAGGAGUUUUUGCUUAUUUUUAGGUUUAUACCCUAAACCUGCUCUAUUGAAUACAGCUCGUUGACUAUUAAGUAUCAUCUCUAAUUUUUCUGAGCUAUAUGUAAAUUUUUCUACAAUAGGCUUGUACUUUUCAAGU